rnacentral:rRNA from 1 species
UACAGAGGUGGCAAGCGUUGUUCGGAAUUACUGGGCGUAAAGGGCUCGUAGGCGGCCAACUAAGUCAGACGUGAAAUCCCUCGGCUUAACCGGGGAACUGCGUCUGAUACUGGAUGGCUUGAGGUUGGGAGAGGGAUGCGGAAUUCCAGGUGUAGCGGUGAAAUGCGUAGAUAUCUGGAGGAACACCGGUGGCGAAGGCGGCAUCCUGGACCAAUUCUGACGCUGAGGAGCGAAAGCCAGGGGAGCAAAUGGG